AGUUCGAUUAUGAAAAGCUCCAGAUUGAACCGCUGGCGGGAUGUACUACACAUGCAAGUCAGACAGCGGCACGGACUUCGGUCUGGUGGCGAGUGGCGAACGGGUGAGUAAUGUAUCGGAACGUGCCUAGUAGCGGGGGAUAACUACGCGAAAGCGUAAAUAAUACCGCAUACGCCCUUCGGGAAAGCAGGGGACCUUCGGAGCCUCGCACUAUUAGAGCAGCCGAUAUCGGAUUUAGCUAGUUGGUGGAGUAACGGCUCACCAAGGCGACGAUCCGUAGCUGGUUUGAGAGGACGACCAGCCACACUGGGACUGAGACAGCCCAGACUCCUACAGGGAGGCAGCAGUGGGGAAUUUUGGACAAUGGGAAACUACAGAUCCAGCCAUCCGCGUGUACGAUGAAGGCCUUCGGGUUGUAAAGCACUUUUUUUGGCAGGAAAACAGCACGGGAUAAUACCCCAUGCAACUGACGAAUACCUGGGAGCAAAGCACCGGCUAACUACGUGCCAACAGCCGCGGUAAUACGUAGGGUGCAAGCGUUAAUCGAGAUUACUGGGCGUAGCAUGCGCAGGCGGUUCCGGAAAGAAAGAUGCUGAAAUCCCAGAGCUUAACUGAACUGUUUUAACUACCGAGCUAGUGUGUCAGAGGGAGGUGGAAUUCCGCGUGUAGCAGUGAAAUGCGUAGAUAUGCGGAGAGACACCGAUGGCGAAGGCAGCCUCCUGGGAUAACACUGACGCUCAUGCGCUUGAUAGGAGCAAACAGGAUUAGAUACCCUGGUAGUCCCUUUAAACGAUGUCAACUAGCUGGGGCCGCUGGGCCUUGGUAGCGCAGCUUUAACGCGGCAAGUUGACCCCACUUUAUGGAAAUACGGUCGCAAGAUUAAAACUCAAAGGAAUUGACGGGGACCGCACAAGCGGUGGAUGAUGGAUUAAUUCGAUGCAACGCGAAAAACCUUACUGCCUUGACAUGUCUGGAAUCCCGAAGAGACUGGCGGUGCUCGCAGAGAACCGGAACACAGGUGCUGCAUGGCUGUCGCCAGCUCGUGUCGUGAGAUGUUGGUUAAGUCCUGACGACGCAACCCUUGUCGACUGGAUUUGCUACGAAAGGGCACUCUAAUGAGACUGCCGGUGACAAACCGGAGGAAGGUGAGGAUGACGUCAGAGUCCUCAUGGCCCUUAUGGGUAGGGCUUCACGUCAUACAAUGGGCCGGGACGGAAGGUCGCCAACCCGCGAGGGGGAGCCAAUCCCAGGAAACCCGAUCGUAGUCCGGAUCGCAGUCUGCAACUCGACUGCGUGAAGUCCCGGAAUCGUUAAGUAAUCGCGGAUCAGCAUGUCGCGGUGAAUACGUUCCCGGGUCUUAUACACACUGCACCCGUCACACCAUGGGAGUGGGUUUUACCGAAGUAGUUAGCCUAACCGUAAGGAGGGCGAUUACCACGGUAGGAUUCAUGACUGGGGUGAAGUCGUAACAAGGUAA
rnacentral:rRNA from 1 species